rnacentral:tRNA from 1 species
GGACUUGUAGCUCAAUGGUAGAGCAACCAGUAUACGCUGAGUGUCUAGUUGGUUCGAUUCCAACCAAGUCCACCA